rnacentral:rRNA from 1 species
CCAGCGCCACGAGUGGUCAUCACGAUUAUUGGGCCUAAAGCGUUCGUAGCCGGUUUGGUAAAUCUCUUGUGAAAUUGUUCGGCUUAACCGGACAGCGUGCAGGAGAGACUGCCAGACUCGAGACCGGGAGGCGUAAGAAGUAUGGCAUGGGGACUGGUAAAAUGGGAUAAUCCAUGCUAGACUACCGAUGGCGAAGGCAUCUUACGAGAACGGAUCUGACGGUGAGGAACGAAAGCUAGGGGAGCGAACC